GGCGUUGCCAUUAUAGGGUGUCCGACCAACGUCCUCGUGUUCGUGCAUCUUCAGGAAGAAACGACCCGGGGUGAGUCGCCUCUGGUCUGCCGCACGAAGAGAGCGGGGGGCUAGAUCGCAAGGGCAGAGUUGCAGUCCUCCAGGGCCGCGGGAAGAAGAAGAUGGGACUCAUAUACAAGCCUCCCUCUCGUGGUGAACACUCUUCCCUGGAAUUGAUGGAAGAUCUGCCUUGCAGCCUUAGAGGAUCCAUGCAUCGUGUGAUGUGUGGCCUACAGGCUACCAAUGCAACUGAUGUAGUCCUGCACAACACAAAUAAUUUAGUGGUGCUUGGAUCUAGGAGUGAACUGGGUCAGGGUUCUGUACUAUAGGAGGAAACAAGAUGGGGCAUGUGUUUUUCAAGGAUAAAUAUUGGAACUGAUGCCUCGCGUUGAUCUCUCUGAUCUGGUUCGGCUGGCGCGGGAACUGAGCCGCCGUCGAUGGAUUUAUCACAACUUGGCUACCUGUUGCUUUGGAUCUGGUAGGUUUGUUCAUA